UACGUAGGGUGCGAGCGUUAAUCGGAAUUACUGGGCGUAAAGCGUGCGCAGGCGGUUUUGUAAGCCAGAUGUGAAAUCCCCGGGCUUAACCUGGGAAUGGCAUUUGGGACUGCAAGGCUCGAGUGCGGCAGAGGAGACUGGAAUUCCUGGUGUAGCAGUGAAAUGCGUAGAUAUCAGGAGGAACACCGAUGGCGAAGGCAGGUCGCUGGGACGGUACUGACGCUGAGACGCGAAAGCGUGGGGAGCAAACAGG
rnacentral:rRNA from 1 species